rnacentral:misc_RNA from 1 species
GGAAGGAUCAUUAAAAAAUAAUCCUUUGGAUUAUAAAUCCAUACCCACCUUUUGUGCACUGUAACUUGUCCAUUGCUUUUCUUCCCGGAUUUUUUUCGUCAGAGAGGUCUCUUUGGGGGCUUUGAUGUCGGGAUGCCGGGGAGGAGAGCGAUAUAUCACACACGUUUAUUUUUUACCGAGUCUGAAGUAUAACUUUUUGCGAAAGCAGAAAUUAUUAAAACAACUUUCAACAACGGAUCUCUUGGCUCCCGCAACGAUGAAGAGCGCAGCGAAAUGCGAUACGUAGUGUGAAUUGCAGAAUUCCGUGAAUCAUCGAAUCCUCGAACGCAUAUUGCGCUUCCGGGUAUUCCUGGAAGCACGCCUGUUUGAGUAUCAGUGUUAAACCUCAAACAAAUUUGUUUUGCUUAACUGUGGAUCAAAUUUGUUUGGACAUGGAUCUUUCACGAAUUGAUGGUUAACUUCAUCAGCGUGGGAUCUGAAAUUAAGAGAAAGGCAGGUCCCAUAUGGAACCAAAGGCUAGAUAAGGGUACCUUCGGGUCCUUUAAAAAGCUGAUAGUUCUUAAGAUCUGAUCCUUCAAACCAAACAAAAUCCGGGCUUGAAAAUGCAUGUUUUUAAGAAUCCGUGACUUUGAUCUCAAAUCAGGCGAGACUACCCGCUGAACUUAAGCAUAUCAUUAAGCGGAGGAAAAGAAACUAACAAGGAUUCCCCUAGUAACGGCGAGUGAAGCGGGAACAGCUCAAUUUUGGAAUCUGUCAGGGUACCCCUGACCGAAUUGUAGUUUAAAGAAGCGUUUUCAGCCGCGACCUUGGCAUAAGUUCCUUGGAACAGGGCAUCGCAGAGGGUGAGAAUCCCGUUUGUGGUCAAGGAUCCGUGGCUAUGUGAGACGUUUUCAACGAGUCGGGUUGUUUGGGAAUGCAGCCCAAAAUUGGUGGUAAAUCUCAUCUAAAGCUAAAUAUUGGCGGGAGACCGAUAGCGAACAAGUACCGUGAGGGAAAGAUGAAAAGAACUUUGAAAAGAGAGUCAAACAGUACGUGAAAUUGUUGAAAGGGAAACGCAUGAGAUCAGUGUUGCGUUCAGUAGAUCAGCCAAGAAGGCAGAGACGCAGGUGGUUAAAUGAGCGUAAGCCGUUUGCCAUUUGCAGUUUUUGUCUGAAUGGUGCACUCUUCUGAAUGCGGGUCAACAUCAGUUUUAAUUGUCGUAAAAAGCCCAAGGGAAGGUGACUCCGACUUCGGUGGGAGUGUUAUAGCCCUGGGUAAUGCGAUGGUUGAGACUGAGGACUGCAGCACAGGCCUUCGUGGCUGGGUGCUCUGUGGCUCUUUGAAAGCUGGCUGUAGGCUGCAUGCAGACUAUGAUCAGGCGUAGAAGACCCCAUGGAAGUACCGCAACUGUGCUUAGGAUGUUGACGAAAUGAUCUUAUACGACCCGUCUUGAAACACGGACCAAGGAGUCUAACAAAUAUGCGAGUGUUUGGGUGGCAAACCCAUACGCGAAAUGAAAGUGAACGUAGGUGGGAUCCCGCAAGGGUGCACCAUCGACCGGUCUGGACUUUUUUAUGAUAGAUCUGAGUAAGAGCAUAUCUGUUGGGACCCGAAAGAUGGUGAACUAUGCCUGAAUAGGGUGAAGCCAGAGGAAACUCUGGUGGAGGCUCGUAGCGGUUCUGACGUGCAAAUCGAUCGUCAAAUUUGGGUAUAGGGGCGAAAGACUAAUCGAACCAUCUAGUAGCUGGUUCCCUC